UUUUUUUUAUAGUAAACCAGAAGAUGACAGGUGUAAAAUUUGUUUUAAUAAAGAAUAUAGCGAAAUAAUUAAUAAAAGAAGAUAUAAAAAUUUUUUUAUUCUGACAUUUUCAUUUAUCAAAAUAAUCGAUAACUAUAAUAAUAAAGAUGAAUAUAUAUCUAUUAACGUAUUAUAUCAAGCUAUUGCUGAAAAAAAAGAAAAUUUUGAAAUUGGGAUAAAAUACAAUUUAAUUGUUGUUCCUAUUCCUAAUAAAGUUAGAAAAAGACAAUACAUAGAUACUUGCACACGUACAUACAUGUGUAAAUACAUACAUACAUAUGUAUGUAUACGUAUUAAACGAAGUAGUAUAAACUAAAAUAACAUUAUAUGUGUAUAUUUACGUUACAUAGAGUCAAUUUAUUAAUAUGUACAUUCAUUUCUUAUUUAUUUCAUUUUAUCUAUUUUUAUUUUUUUUUGUGUAAAGGUAAUAAGAAACAGUAUUAGAGGCUCACAAGUUAGUAAUCUCUGGUUGCUAAAUUAUAGAAAACAAGUAAUUACAGAAAUAGGAAAAAAAAAGAUAAAUAAAUAAAAUAAUAAUAAUAAUAAUAAAUGUAUAAAAAUGUAUAAAGAUGCAUAAAAAUGUAUAAAGAUGCAUAAAAANNNNNNNNNNUGCAUAAAAAUGUAUAAAGAUGCUUAAGUUAAUUUAUUGUACCUAUUGUAAUAAGACGUAUAUGUAUAAUUUAUAUACGCAUCAACAUAGUGUUAAAUAUAUACGUGCAAGAAUGUUUUUAGAAAAAAAAAAAAAUUGAAAGCAGCAUACUAACAUUAAAGGAAAGCACAACCAUGUCACUAUCAACUGAACAGCUUAACUGUUUACUACGUACUCAAAACUUAAAUGAUAUGAAUAGAAUUAUAACCAACAUAUUGAAGAUACCCCUUCACAGUUCCUGUUUAAAUAAAAUAUGUAAGACGACAAAAUUAACCUUAAUAUUAAUUUGUAUAUGUAGCAAUUUUUUAAAAUAUUUUAAAUUAGAUUCAUGUGCAUAUGAUAUAUAUAACAAGGUAAAUACAAACAAAUGGAUGAAUGCGCCUAUAAAGGGACAUAUGUUGGAAAGAGUAAGAGCGCCUCAUUGUUUUUUUAUGUGCUUAGAUGAAAUAAUAAUAACAGAAUUAGUUAAAUUCUUGAAUUAUUUUUGUAACAUUAAAUUGUUCAACGUCAAAACUGAUUCUUUCAGUGUAUUACUUACUCAAAAAUAUGAUAUAUUAGUUAUAAAUAUGGAUAAUUUAAACACUCCUCAAAUUAAUACAUUAGUAGAAUUAAUGAAAAAUGGAGUAUAUAAAAAUAAAAAAUCAUCAUUUCCAAUAUCGAUUACCUUUUGGGUAUAUAUCGUUAAACCAUAUAUAAGAAGCGACGAAGAACUUGACAAGUAUGUACAAAAUAAUUUAUUAGCUCGUUUUGAUUUUUUGUUUGAGCUUAGUUUUGAAAAAGAUGAUGACGAUGAUGUGAUUGAUGAAAUAUUAAGAAAUGCUGAUGAUGAUAACGAUAAUUAUAAUGAAAUAAAAAAUAAAAUUUUUUUUUCUGAAUUGAUUGAUAAGUAUGCUUACUUAAAAAAAGGGAAUUUAUAUAAUUAUGAAUUUGUUGAAAUGAGUAAUACAACAAAAGCUAUAAUUCAAAAGUAUUUUAAUAUGGCUUCCGAUUCAACAACUUUAACUAUUUACCAUAUAGGCAUUUGUGAGUUAUUAUGUAUAAGUGUGUCCAUUUUAUUAGGAAAAAAGGAAUGCUUAAUAGAACAUGCUGUUUUAGGGAUGUUUUUAUAUGACAACUUUGUAUCAGCUACAAAAAACAAAUUAACUCAAUUCAAAAAAGAAUUUUUAAAUAGUAUACUGAACUGUUUAGAUACUAAAUAUAAUUCGUUACAAAAAUUAAUGAAUUAUUUUUCGACUUAUUUAAAUGCUAAAAAAGAUACGUAACAACAAAAUAAAUUAAUAUUUCAUUACUAAAAUAUUAUUUUA
ensembl:lncRNA